rnacentral:lncRNA from 1 species
UGUGAAUACAAAAUCACACAACUCCUGUGAAGGUGAUUUUGGUAAUAUUAAAUAAAAUAACAUGUUCUUUUACCCUGUGACUUAACAAUUCCAUUUGUGGGAAUCUAUGCUAAAGAUCCAUUAGUAAAAGCAUAUUAUGUGUGCACAAGGAACUUUUUGUAAUGGCAGAAGACUGGAAAAAGCCUACAUAUCCAUCAAUAGGGGCCUCGUUAAAUAAACUUCGAUGCAACCAUAGAUAACCAAAGAACAAUGUCUAAUUCAUUUAAAACACAGUAUUUUGUUUGUACAUCCCUAAUGGGAUAGAAUAUGAAGAAAAAAAAGCACAAACUUAAACUUUAUUCAGCAGUCUUGUUAGCAAUAUUGUUAUUCUGUUCUAUAUACGUAUAUGUGUGUAUAUAUAUAUAUGGAUAAAGCAAAUAAUUAUGUUAAUAUCUUUAAGAACCUCUAUGUUCAUCUUAAUAGAAAGGAGACAAAAAACAAAAUCAAAGAGCUUAGCUUUAAAAAAGGAUUGGGACAUAGAUAGAAAAAGGCACUUAGUAUUCAAGAGUAGUCGCGGGUCUUUGAGAAAAGGAAAUCUGAGACAUCUAAAAUCCAAAAAAAUGUCAAGUUUGGGGGUGGGAGAAGGCUAAAGACAAUAGAAGUAACUUUUUAUGUCUGAAGCAAGAAGAAAAGAGGAGGAAUGGUUUGGUUUAGUCUCUGACACACCAGUUCCUGUUAAACGAUGGCUUUUCUGCAGUGCCUUUGUCUCCUAAAUGCGGGUCCCACUCCGUCCAUCCCUACCUUCACUUUUUACCAAGUUAAUUUCUACUGAUUCUUCAGAUCAGUAAAUCAUUGGUACAUUCUGUUCCCCAACCUCAACAAGGAUCUUUUAUUCUACCAUAACAUAGAAUCAUAUUUCUUUCCUUAGUGCACUUCUUUCAGUUUAUAUGCAUGAACCAUUAAUGUAACCACUUGAUUCAUAUUCUCCCCCACUUCGAGGGCCGAAGCUGUUGCAGAUUUUGCUCAUCAUCCUAUACCACAGUACAUAGCAGACGCGCAAUAAACAAUUGUUAAAGUAAAGCAACACCCUUAACUCCCAUUUUUUUCCCAUUUCUUCAGAGAAUCUUCUUUAGAUUGGGAAGGACUUGAACUCCAAAGAGAGCAAAAUGAUUCUAAGAAAACGUACCCUACUCAAGUUUGUUCAUUCGGCAAAAAUUCAUUUAGCCCCCGGCACUGUUAGGCGAUUGGGGAUACAACAGAGGAUAAGGCAGAUAAAGUUCUGUCCCUACUCUUACUAAGUAGACAUGGGCACGAGGCAAGGUGGUAGUAAAAGUGUGGUAGGUUGUCUGUAUUUAAAUUGAAUCCAAGUCUCCUGCUCUAAAUGAAUUACAUCCCAGAAAACAGAGAACACCCCGACGGGAUCGCUGAUGUUUGAGAAUAGAAAAACAGCUUGAGGACACGAGCUGAGGAUGUGCAGUCCUGUUUGUCAACAAGCUAACCAAGGUUUCGGCAAUGUGUGGGCGCGGAGCCGGCCUCCUCCCGGAUCUCCUAACUUCAAAUCCCACCAAAUGAAGCUUCUGCAGCUGCUGCCUCCUGCGGACUUCGCAUUUCUCCCGCACUCUACUCUCUCAUGACAGGUCCUCUUUGUUGUAGUUAAGUAUGCGAUCAGAUUUGAGCGUCACCAUCAGUCCCCCAAAUACGGACCAGUUCCCAUAGUCGAAGUUUCCAUUAGAGGCCCUGGGUUGGGGUUACGAAAAUGAGCGUUUGUGAAUCCCGACUUAAGUUGUCUCACUUCGCGUUCUGUAGAACCGGU